GUGAGACAUCUGUAGAAAGAGUGUGUGUGUGUGUGUGCUCUAACAAAGCAAUGGUAAAUGGAAUUCGGCCUCAGAAAUGAUGGAAGCAGCAAAUGAUUAGACCAUCUUCCAGAUGUUCAAGCAACAGGUUUAACUACUCUACUGGGUACGACCAUGAAGGAGGUCCUACGUGUUCUCCACCGCCUCGACACCACCAGCGAGGUUCUCCAUACCGCUGACGGAGUGCCUCCUACCAUGUGUCGUCACAGUGAGUCAGUCCCCCAGCCGCCCGCCCAGGUCAGCGAUGCCCGACUUUCCCUUCCGAGAAGGAUGACGGUACUCUAUCGAAAUGCCAUGGCUUCCUACUCCAGUGCUCCCUCUAUUUCACCUAUCAGACGGGAGCCCCCACCCCCGAGAGGUCCAAGGUUGCCACGGUCAUUUCACUGCUGACUGGACAGGCGUUGGAGUGGGCUACGGCCGGCUGGGAGAGAGGAGAGGAUGAGUUUGGUUCCUAUGAGAGGUUCAUAGCGGUCUUCGACCAUCCUCUAGAGUGCAGAGAGGGAGGUGAGUGACUUUUUAUUUUUCUUCGGGAGCACUGGUGUCCACCAUGCCACUCCGCUCCUCGUUUGGCUGUCCUAAGGGAGAGCCUGAAACCAUGAGGUGGGGGCCACGCACCUCUCCACGUCACGGGAGACAGCUGGGACUCUGUUCCUAUUGUGGCCAGGAGGGACACCAGCUUCAGRGGUGCCCGGUGCGUGACCUUCCAUCUCCCAGGGUAGGCAUGAGUUUUCCAUCACUUUCCGCCAAACCCUUUCUGGCUUCAAUUUGGCUGGCUGUCCCUCAUCUGUCUCUACAGCUCUAGUGGACUCCGGUGCCGCUGGGAACUUCAUCAACAAGACCUUUGCCUCCUCCCUGAACAUAAAUUAAUACCCGCUCUCCUCUCCUUUUCCUGUUCAAGCCCUGGAUACAUGACCAUUGGGAUCCGGCACAAUUACGCACAUCGCAGCACCCUCACCAUGGGACCCAUGCACCAGGAAAGCCUUCCCUUCCUCAUCAUCACCACACCCGUACAGUCAUCCUCGGCCUCCGUUGGCUCGAACGUCAUAACCCCACCAUCUCCUGGUCAAGGAUGAGAAUCACCGCCUGGGGACCAGGAUGCCGGAGGACCUGCUUUCCCACACCCUGUGGUUCCACGUCUGUGGAGGGUCCUGGGAGUGUCCUCCAGCCCAUCAAGCGGUCCUCCCAUAUCGUUGGUCCCAUGUUUUGGGACAUAGAUGUGGACAUCUGCCAGGCUCUGGAGAGAACCAGUUCCUGCCACCUGCCCUCCAGAGCGCAUCUACGUCCCCAAGGAGGUGAGAGAUUGGCUGUUGACCUGGGCACACACCCCUUGCCGCUGGACACACAUCCCUUGCCGCUGAACACCCAGGUAUCACCCGCACCAUCCAAUUCCUCUCCGAUAAAUACUGGUGGCCCACCUUGGCGAAGGACGUCGCCCACUAUGUCAACUCAUGUUCGGUCGCUGAGGCACUAUUCCAGCAGGUCUUCCGACACACGUCGCGGGUCUGGAAAGCCUUUAUGGAGAAGCUGGGGACCACGGUCAGCCUCACAUCUGGGUACUGGCCUCAGUCUAACGGGCWGGUGGAGAAGACCAACCAGGAGCUGGAGAGGUUCGUAAGGAGUCACUGCCAGGACUGGCAAGGGGAGUGGGCCCGGUUCCUUCCCUCGGCGGAAUUUGCCCAGAACUCACUCCUCCACCAGGCUGACUCCCUUCCAGUGUGUCCUGGGAUAUCAGCUGGCCCCUGCUCUGUGGACUCCGAGCCAGACUGAGGCCCCUGCAGAUUAUGAAUGGUUCCGGCGCGCCGGCAGAAGGAUCAGGUGGACCACCACUGCAGUGAGGCUCCCGUGUUUCAUCCUGGUGCUCACGUCUGACUCUCCAUCAAGAACCUCCGUCUGCUCUGCUGGAAGCUGAGCCCCCGGUUUGUGGGGCCUCUCAAAGUCCUCCUGAGGGCCAAUGGCAUCACUGUCACGUCUCCUCCCGCUCCGGCGCUCGACAUCACCGGUUUACUAACCACCGGUCCUGGUAACCCAUCAUUACGCACACCUGCGUCUCAUCACCACCUUGAUUACUUCCCCUUUAUCUAGCAAUCCCCAGCGUCAGUCUUCAGGCAGAAUUGGUUCAGUUUUCAUGUCCAGAUGCGUCUCUUGUUUUGGAACUCCAUGUUAUUAUUAAACCAACUGUCUACGUUACAAAUGUUUUUAAAAUUGUAUA